AUUGAACGCUGGCGGCAUGCCUAACACAUGCAAGUCGAACGAGUGGCGGACGGGUGAGUAAUGUCUGGGAAAGUGCCCAGUAGCGGGGGAUAACUACUCGAAAGGGUAGCUAAUACCGCAUACUAUUGGAGGGGCCCAGAUGGGAUUAGCUAGUGGGUGGGGUAAUGGCUCACCUAGGCGACGAUCCCUAGCUGGUCUGAGAGGAUGACCAGCCACACUGGAACUGAGACAGGGUCCAGACUCCUCCGGGAGGCAGCAGGGGGGAAUAUUGCACAAUGGGCGCAAGCCUGAUGCAGCCAGGCCGCGUGUAUGAAGAAGGCCUUCGGGUUGUAAAGUACUUUCAGCGAGGAGGCGUUAAUCGCAGAAGAAGCACCGGCUAACUCCGUGCCAGCAGCCGCGGUAAUAC
rnacentral:rRNA from 1 species